AGCAGUCGCCGCGGGAAUACGGAGGGGGCUAGCGUUGUUCGGAAUUACUGGGCGUAAAGCGCACGUAGGCGGCUUGGUAAGUUAGAGGUGAAAGCCUGGAGCUCAACUCCAGAAUUGCCUUUAAGACUGCCGAGCUAGCAGGUGAGAGAGGUAAGUGGAAUUCCGAGUGUAGAGGUGAAAUUCGUAGAUAUUCGGAAGAACACCAGUGGCGAAGGCGGCUUACUGGCUCAUACUGGACGCUGAGGUGCGAAAGCGUGGGGAGCAAACAGGAUUAGAUACCCCCGUAGUCCCUGUCUCUUAUAC
rnacentral:rRNA from 1 species